CCCGCCGACUACCUCCGCUUCCAGGACCUGGUGCUGCGCAUGCUGGAGUAUGAGCCCGCCGCCCGCAUCAGCCCUCUGGGCGCUCUGCAGCAUGGCUUCUUCCGCCGCACGGCCGACGAGGCCACCAACACGGGCCCGGCAGGCAGCAGUGCCUCCACCUCGCCGGCGCCCCUUGAUACCUGCCCCUCCUCUAGCACCGCCAGCUCCAUCUCCAGCUCUGGAGGCUCCAGUGGCUCCUCCAGUGACAACAGGGCCUACCGCUACAGCAACCGAUAUUGUGGGGGCCCAGGGCCCCCCAUCACUGACUGUGAGAUGAACAGCCCCCAGGUCCUACCCUCCCAGCCUCUGCGCCCCUGGGCAGGGGGUGAUGUGCCCCACAAGACACAUCAAGCCCCUACCUCUGGCUCAACAUUGCUGGGGACUGG
rnacentral:lncRNA from 1 species